rnacentral:rRNA from 1 species
UAACACGUGAGCAACCUGCCUUUCAGAGGGGGAUAACAGUUGGAAACGACUGCUAAUACCGCAUAACGCUGCGAUGGGGCAUCCCGAUGCAGCCAAAGGAGCAAUCCGCUGAAAGAUGGGCUCGCGGCCGAUUAGCUAGUUGGUGGGGCAACGGCCCACCAAGGCGACGAUCGGUAGCCGGACUGAGAGGUUGAUCGGCCACAUUGGGACUGAGACACGGCCCAGACUCCUACGGAAGGCAGCAG